rnacentral:rRNA from 1 species
CGGCGUGCCUAAUACAUGCAAGUCGAACGGUCUUUCUAUGGAAGCUUGCUUCCACUGAGAAGAUAGUGGCGAACGGGUGGAGUAACACGUGGGGUAACCUGGCCCCAGUAAGAGGGGGGAUAACAUCCGGAAACGGGUGCUAAUACCGCAUAGUUUUCUUGAUCGCAUGAUCGGGAAAGGAAAGACGGCCUUUGUGCUGUCGCUUAUGGAUGGACCCGCGGCGUAUUAGUUAGUUGGUGAGGUAACGGCUCACCAAGACGAUGAUACGUAGCCGACCUGAGAGGGUGAUCGGCCACAUUGGGACUGAGACACGGCCCAAACUCCUACGGGAGGCAGCAGUAGGGAAUCUUCCGCAAUGGACGAAAGUCUGACGGAGCAACGCCGCGUGAGUGAAAGAAGGUUUUCGGAUCGUAAAACUCUGUUGUCAGAGAAGAACAAGUUGGAGAGUAACUGCUCCAGCCUUGACGGUAUCUGACCAGAAAGCCACGGCUAACUACGUGCCAGCCGCCGC